rnacentral:rRNA from 1 species
AGAGGGCGACCAGGUCACCCUGGGACUGAGACACGGCCCAGACUCGUACGGGAGGCAGCAGUGGGGAAUUUUGGACAAUGGGGGAAACCCUGAUCCAGCCAUCCCGCGCGUAUGAUGAAGGCCUUCGGGUUGUAAAGUACUUUUGGCAGAGAAGAAAAGGUAUCCCCUAAUACGGGAUACUGCUGACGGUAUCUGCAGAAUAAGCACCGGCUAACUACGUGCCAGCAGCCGCGGUAAUACGUAGGGUGCAAGCGUUAAUCGGAAUUACUGGGCGUAAAGCGUGUGUAGGCGGUUCGGAAAGAAAGAUGUGAAAUCCCAGGGCUCAACCUUGGAACUGCAUUUUUAACUGCCGAGCUAGAGUAUGUCAGAGGGGGGUAGAAUUCCACGUGUAGCAGUGAAAUGCGUAGAUAUGUGGAGGAAUACCGAUGGCGAAGGCAGCCCCCUGGGAUAAUACUGACGCUCAGACACGAAAGCGUGGGGAGCAAACAGGAUUAGAUACCCUGGUAGUCCACGCCCUAAACGAUGUCAACUAGCUGUUGGGGCCGUUAGGCCUUAGUAGCGCAGCUAACGCGUGAAGUUGACCGCCUGGGGAGUACGGUCGCAAGAUUAAAACUCAAAGGAAUUGACGGGGACCCGCACAAGCGGUGGAUGAUGUGGAUUAAUUCGAUGCAACGCGAAAAACCUUACCUACCCUUGACAUGUCUGGAAAGCCGAAGAGAUUUGGCCGUGCUCGCAAGAGAACCGGAACACAGGUGCUGCAUGGCUGUCGUCAGCUCGUGUCGUGAGAUGUUGGGUUAAGUCCCGCAACGAGCGCAACCCUUGUCAUUAGUUGCUACGCAAGAGCACUCUAAUGAGACUGCCGGUGACAAACCGGAGGAAGGUGGGGAUGACGUCAAGUCCUCAUGGCCCUUAUGGGUAGGGCUUCACACGUCAUACAAUGGUCGGGACAGAGGGUCGCCAACCCGCGAGGGGGAGCCAAUCUCAGAAACCCGAUCGUAGUCCGGAUCGCAGUCUGCAACUCGACUGCGUGAAGUCGGAAUCGCUAGUAAUCGCGGAUCACAAUGUCGCGGUGAAUACGUUCCCGGGUCUUGUACACACCGCCCGUCACACCAUGGGAGUGUUUUUCACCAGAAGUAGGUAGCCUAACCGAAGCGAAGGCGCUUA